ACCCUAACAGCUAAUGAGAGGAAGCACAGGUUUCCCAGGGCAGCCUCGUGGCAUUUCUCUGUGAAUAGGUAAAAAGGAGAUGAGAGUAAUUCAAGCUAAGGGAGCAAACAGCAGGGACAGAGCGUCCCUCCCUCCCUGUCUGUAGAAAUCAGCAGAUAGCACACCUGCUGCUGCUCAAGCUCCCUCUGCCAAGCAGAGCAGCACAGCUGCAAGACACUGCUUCUGGCCGGCUGCUCUGAGCUCUGCCUGUCUUCUGGGAUGGAGCCCCGCCCAAGGCAAGUUCAACUGGGUUCUUUGGCAGCUGAAGUCUACACGGACCCAGCAGGGAGCGGCGGAGAAAAGUGCCUACUUUGAUGACUUAUUACCCUAGUGCCUUUGAUCUCCACUGUAGAAAAUGCUCUGCUCCAUUUCAGAACAGAUUGCCAUGUGCCCCAUUCUCUGGCCUGUGGAGCAAACCAGCGACAGACCUCACAGAUAGAAAUCCACCAUUGGCCAUUCACAAAGAGGUAAACUAGUUCUCCUAGUAAGGGGAGUGAAUGUGAUGAUCCAUAUUUCCUGGAAAAUCUUCCUAGAGGCCUGAGAUGAUAAAUAUUGCCUGUUCCAGAACAGUUCAAAGCUGGGAGAAAACGACUUACUCGAGAUAGGCCUUUUAAGAAAAAGAACUGAAGGGUAAUUCAUGUGGCAUUGACUGGGUAGAAUUAAGUGAAUCAUGUUGAAUGGAAAUUGAAAUGUCUUGUGAUCAUGUUUGGCACUUCAAAAGUGUUCCACUUUCUUAAAGUUUUCAACCAUUCUCGUUUUGAGUGUUGCUCCUCUUCAGAUAUUAAGAAGAUGCAGCCAUGAACAGAAAGGUCAACUCUAGCCCAGUUUACCCUCAAGUGCUAUCUAGAAGAUGUGGUUUUACUGGUCCCAGUUUUUCACAUACUUCUCAACCAGUAAGGCCUCACCAGGCAGAGGCUCCCCAUUGACCCUUCACUGCUGGACUCGAUCUUUUCUCAAGCAUGCUUGGUUACAUCUUGGUCUAUGCCAACUAAAUAAGAUGUGUGGGUGUUCAAGGAUGGAAGUAUCCUAUCUUGCAUGGUUAGCUUGGGGAUGGUAUUCAGUCUUCUCCAUGUAAUUCUUAUCUUAGAUAUAGCUGGGAUUUUACACUUCUCAAUACAAUCUCAUCUACAUUAUCUAAUUUGAUUCUUGUACAAACUUGGUGUAAUAUGCUCUUAUUGUAGAUUCAUCAUUUAUCCACCAAACAGAAGUGAGCCAUGCUAAGCUAGAUAUUGAGGACACAGUUUUGAAGAAGUGAUGUUCUCUGCCUUCAAGGAGAUUAUAGGCCAGUGAAGAAUAAAGAUAUGUAAAUGAGCAAUUGUAUUAUAGGGAAAUAACUGCUAUAACAGGGCUCCAUGGGAAAGCAUAAGAGAGAUAACAAUGUUUUGAGACCCAGAAGGCACUGUUGAUGUAAACCACUUGGCCUUUACCAUAUCAGUGCAUGCUGUUCUAUCUUUC
rnacentral:lncRNA from 1 species